AUUGAACGCUGGCGGCAGGCCUAACACAUGCAAGUCGAGCGGAUGAAGGGAGCUUGCUCCUGGAUUCAGCGGCGGACGGGUGAGUAAUGCCUAGGAAUCUGCCUGGUAGUGGGGGAUAACGUCCGGAAACGGGCGCUAAUACCGCAUACGUCCUGAGGCAGAAGGAUGGGGAGUUUCGGACCUCACGCUAUCAGAUGGGCCUAGGUCGGAUUAGCUAGUUGGUGGGUUAAAGGCCUACCAAGGCGACGAUCCGUAACUGGUCUGAGAGGAUGAUCAGUCACACUGGAACUGAGACACGGUCCAGACUCCUACGGGAGGCAGCAGUGGGGAAUAUUGGACAAUGGGCGAAAGCCUGAUCCAGCCAUGCCGCGUGUGUGAAGAAGGUCUUCGGAUUGUAAAGCACUUUAAGUUGGGAGGAAGGGCAGUAAGUUAAUACCUUGCUGUUUUGACGUUACCAACAGAAUAAGCACCGGCUAACUUCGUG
rnacentral:rRNA from 1 species